AUUGAACGCUGGCGGAAUGCUUUACACAUGCAAGUCGAACGGCAGCACGGGUGCUUGCACCUGGUGGCGAGUGGCGAACGGGUGAGUAAUACAUCGGAACGUACCCAGUUGUGGGGGAUAACUAACCGAAAGGUUAGCUAAUACCGCAUACGCCCUGAGGGGGAAAGCGGGGGACCGUAAGGCCUCGCGCGGCAGGACGA
rnacentral:rRNA from 1 species